AAUAGAUACCCUGGUAGUCCACGCCGUAAACGAUGGGUACUAGGUGUCUGGGGAGCGACCCCCUGGGUGCCGACGCUAACGCAUGAAGUACCCCGCCUGGGGAGUACGGCCGCAAGGCUGAAACUCAAAGGAAUUGACGGGGGCCCGCACAAGCGGUGGAGCAUGUGGUUUAAUUCGACGCAACGCGAAGAACCUUACCUGGGCUUGACAUGCUGGAGAAAGCUUGCGGAAACGUGAGCCCCUCUUCGGAGUUCCAGCACAGAUGCUGCAUGGCUGUCGUCAGCUCGUGUCGUGAGAUGUUGGGUUAAGUCCCGCAACGAGCGCAACCCUCGCCCUUAGUUACCAGCGGGUAAAGCCGGGGACUCUAGGGGGACUGCCGGUGCCAAACCGGAGGAAGGUGGGGAUGACGUCAAGUCAUCAUGGCUCUUACGUCCAGGGCUACACACGUGCUACAAUGGAUCGGACAGAGGGUCGCCAACUCGCGAGAGUGAGCCAAUCCCCAAACCGGUCCUCAGUUCGGAUUGUAGUCUGCAACUCGACUAC
rnacentral:rRNA from 1 species